AAAACAUGUCUUUUUGAAAAUAAUUUAAAGUCUAAUCUGCCCACUGAUAAAUAUUAAAGGGCUGCAGUAUAUUGACUGUACAAAGGUAGCAUAAUCAAUAGUCUUUUAAUUGAAGACUUGUAUGAAGGAUUUAAUGAAAUAUAAUCUGUCUCUUAUUUAUAAUUAGAAUUUAAUUUUUUAGUUAAAAAGCUAAAAUAGAUUUAAAAGACGAGAAGACCCUAUAGAGUUUUAUAAUUAAUUAAUUUUGGGUUAUAUAUAUAAUUUAAAAUUAAAAAUUAAUUAAUUAUUUUAUUGGGGUGAUAAAAAAAUUAAGUAAACUUUUUUUUAUUGAAGACAUAAAUAAGUGAAUAAAUGAUCCAUUAUUAAUGAUUAAAAGAAAAAAUUACCUUAGGGAUAACAGCGUAAUUUUUUUUUUUAGUUCAAAUAAGAAAAAGAGAUUGCGACCUCGAUGUUGGAUUAAGAUAAAAUAUAAAUGCAAAAGUUUAAAAUUUUGAUCUGUUCGAUCAUUAAAAUCUUACAUGAUCUGA
rnacentral:rRNA from 1 species